AACGAACGCUGGCGGCAUGCCUAACACAUGCAAGUCGAACGAGACCUUCGGGUCUAGUGGCGCACGGGUGCGUAACGCGUGGGAACCUGCCCUUAGGUUCCGAAUACCUCCCCGUAAGGGGUGCUAAUACCGGAUAAUGUCUUCGGACCAAAGAUUUAUCGCCUUUGGAUGGGCCCGCGUUGGAUUAGCGAGUUGGUAGGGUAAAAGCCUACCAAGGCGACGAUCCAUAGCUGGUCGGAGAGGAUGAUCAGCCACACUGGGCCUGAGACACGGCCCAGACUCCUACGGGAAGCAGCAGAGGGGAAUAUUGGAAGAGGGGGGAAGGCCUGAUCCAGCAAUGCCGGGUAAGUGAUGAAGGCGGUAGGGUUGUAAAGCUCUUUUACCCGGGAUGAUAAUGACGGUACCGGGAGAAUAAGCACCGGCUAACUCCGUG
rnacentral:rRNA from 1 species